CUUCGGGGUGUGACUGCGUACCUUUUGUAUAAUGGGUCAGCGACUUAUAUUCUGUAGCAAGGUUAACCGAAUAGGGGAGCCGGAGGGAAACCGAGUCUUAACCGGGCGUUAAGUUGCAGGGUAUAGACCCGAAACCCGGUGAUCUAGCCAUGGGCAGGUUGAAGGUUGGGUAACACUAACUGGAGGACCGAACCGACUAAUGUUGAAAAAUUAGCGGAUGACCUGUGGCUGGGGGUGAAAGGCCAAUCAAACCGGGAGAUAGCUGGUUCUCCCCGAAAGCUAUUUAGGUAGCGCCUCGUGAAUUCAUCUCCGGGGGUAGAGCACUGUUUCGGCUAGGGGGCCAUCCCGGCUUACCAACCCGAUGCAAACUGCGAAUACCGGAGAAUGUUAUCACGGGAGACACACGGCGGGUGCUAACGUCCGUCGUGAAGAGGGAAACAACCCAGACCGCCAGCUAAGGUCCCAAAGUCAUGGUUAAGUGGGAAACGAUGUGGGAAGGCCCAGACAGCCAGGAUGUUGGCUUAGAAGCAGCCAUCAUUUAAAGAAAGCGUAAUAGCUCACUGGUCGAGUCGGCCUGCGCGGAAGAUGUAACGGGGCUAAACCAU
rnacentral:rRNA from 1 species